UGUCCGCAACGACGAAGAGCUCAACAAGCUUUUAGGCGGUGUUACCAUCGCCCAGGGCGGAGUGCUUCCAAACAUCCAGGCAGUGCUGCUGCCCAAGAAAACCGAGAAGCCAGCCAAGAGCAAGUAACGGAGCUUUGCGAUCAUGGACAAUGACAUAAACGCAGCUCGGCUAGUUUGAGCCCAAACGCACUCCCUCACACAAGAAGAGAUCUACACCACCACUGGCUAUAAAUGGCCAUGGGACGUUUAACCUGCCAUCACGGUGGACUAUCCUUACUGAAAAAAAAAACUCCAUUUGUGGGAUGAAUGAACAUCAGUAUUUCAUCGUAUAUGGACCAAUGUUGGUUACAUUUUAUUUGUCACUGCUUUAAAUUACAUGCAAGUCAUGUCAGUUAUCUGCUGUUUAAGUGAUUAUGUUGUUUCAAUAAAUGUUGAGUGCCAGUGGAAGGCACAAAGAA